CAAUCCAACCGUUAGUGAUAGUAGUGACAGUCAACUCGGUACCAAAAAGAAAAAAGUUCGUGGUCCCACCCAACUCAAGCAUAUUCAUGCUAUGGAGACACAAAUAGAGUUAACAUGGUAC